CAGCAGCAGCCACGGGAAUACGAAGGGGGCUAGCGUUGUUCGGAUUAACUGGGCGUAAAGGGUGCGUAGGCGGGUCUUUAAGUCAGAGGUGAAAUCCCAAGGCUCAACCUUGGAACUGCCUUUGAUACUGGGGAUCUUGAGUCCGGGAGAGGUGAGUGGAACUGCGAGUGUAGAGGUGAAAUUCGUAGAUAUUCGCAAGAACACCAGUGGCGAAGGCGGCUCACUGGGACAACACUGACGCUGAGGCACGAAAGCGUGGGGAGCAAACAGGAUUAGAUACCCGCGUAGUCCCUGUCUCUUAUAC
rnacentral:rRNA from 1 species